rnacentral:rRNA from 1 species
UACGUAGGGGGGCAAGCGUUGUCCGGAAUCAUUGGGCGUAAAGAGCGUGUAGGCGGCCCGGUAAGUCCGCCGUGAAAGUCCAGGGCUCAACCCUGGAAUGCCGGUGGAAACUGCCGGGCUGGAGUCCGGAAGAGGCGAGUGGAAUUCCUAGUGUAGCGGUGAAAUGCGCAGAUAUCAGGAGGAACACCGGUGGCGAAGGCGGGGUCUCUGGGCCGAUACUGACGCUGAGGAGCGAAAGCGUGGGGAGCGAACAGG